rnacentral:rRNA from 1 species
AAAUUUUAUAUUUUGAUUUGAAGGUUGAUCCUACCUUAAUUUUUGAUUAAUUUAUAGAUGAUAUUAAAUAUAAGUUUUUGCGUGAUUAGAAUAUAUCUUAAGGGUGAUUUUUAUUUUAUUUGUAGUUUUUAAUUUUGAUUAUUUAUAUAAUUGUAGAUUCAGUUGAUCUAUUUAGAAUUGUACAAGGCUGUGCCAGCAUACGCGGUUAUACAGUUAAUUCAAGUUAAUUUAUUUUGGUUUUUAUU